UACAGAGGUCUCAAGCGUUGUUCGGAUUCAUUGGGCGUAAAGGGUGCGUAGGCGGCGUGGUAAGUCGGAUGUGAAAUCUCGGAGCUUAACUCCGAAACUGCACUUGAUACUGCCUCGCUUGAGUACUGGAGAGGAGACUGGAAUUUACGGUGUAGCAGUGAAAUGCGUAGAUAUCGUAAGGAAGACCAGUGGCGAAGGCGAGUCUCUGGACAGUUACUGACGCUGAGGCACGAAGGCCAGGGGAG
rnacentral:rRNA from 1 species